ACCCUUUAGUAGCUCAUGAGCAAGAUGACCGGAUGUUCAAGCCUGUGUGAGAGAUGUGCCACCCUGGAACCUUGUGAUAACAUUGGCACAUUACCUGUCUGACC
ensembl:snoRNA